GACGAACGCUGGCGGCGUGCCUAAUACAUGCAAGUAGAACGCACAGUUUAUACCGUAGCUUGCUACACCAUAGACUGUGAGUUGCGAACGGGUGAGUAACGCGUAGGUAACCUGCCUGGUAGCGGGGGAUAACUAUUGGAAACGAUAGCUAAUACCGCAUAAUAUUAAUUAUUGCAUGAUAAUUAAUUGAAAGGUGCAAUUGCACCACUACCAGAUGGACCUGCGUUGUAUUAGCUAGUAGGUGAGGUAACGGCUCACCUAGGCGACGAUACAUAGCCGACCUGAGAGGGUGAUCGGCCACGCUGGGACUGGGACACGGCCCAGACUCCUUAGGGGAGCAGCAGUAGGGAAUCUUCGGCAAUGGACGAAAGUCUGACCGAGCAACGCCGCGUGAGUGAAGAAGGUUUUCGGAUCGUAAAGCUCUGUUGUAAGAGAAGAACGGGUGUGAGAGUGGAAAGUUCACACUGUGACGGUAUCUUACCAGAAAGGGACGGCUAACUACGUG
rnacentral:rRNA from 1 species